UACGGAGGGGGCUAGCGUUGUUCGGAAUUACUGGGCGUAAAGCGCACGUAGGCGGCUUUGUAAGUUAGAGGUGAAGGCCCGGGGCUCAACCCCGGAAUUGCCUUUAAGACUGCAUCGCUUGAACGUCGGAGAGGUGAGUGGAAUUCCGAGUGUAGAGGUGAAAUUCGUAGAUAUUCGGAAGAACACCAGUGGCGAAGGCGGCUCACUGGACGACUGUUGACGCUGAGGUGCGAAAGCGUGGGGAGCAAACAGG
rnacentral:rRNA from 1 species